GGUGGGUGUUGGAUGAGCCGGAGUGACAAGAAGACGCAUGAGCACCUGCUGGUAAGAGGCACUUGAAUGGAGCAAGAGUGAACCAGGCAGGCAGGUGGGAUGCUGCCAGGUCAUGAGACUGAUCACAAUGGUGUCAGGUGAUCUCAAACGGGGUGGCAUAACUUGGGCAAAGGCCAAUGCUCUAGGUGUGGGCUGCACAGAGGUAGAGGUUGCCCAGUAAUUUUCCACCUUGGGGAGGGCAACAAGGGUUCAUAGGACAAAGAAUGGGGAAUAAGGGAAAACUAGGGUCAAGGAAGGGGGAGGGGCUGGAGGAAUGUCUGCAUAAAUUGAGAAUGUAUCCCAUGAAUUUGAACAACACAAGAGCUCCUGAGAGGCCAGGGAGGUACCCCAAUGAACUUCUCUGGUGUUGGCACAAACGCGAGGGAAAAAAGCACACUGUGGACAACACGGAAGGUGAACACUUGGAUUUUUCGAUAGGAUUUCAUACUAGGAAAGGACAGCCAUCUUCGGAAGCAUGAGGAAAUCUAGAAGAAUGCAAUUGUUUCCAUUCUGGGCUCAGAAUGGAAAGGAUCCCAAAGAACUCUUUAUUUUCCACCAUGUUUCCUACAUGGUUACAAAGGACAGAAUCUGUGUAUACACCGCCGACCUAGGAAAGUAUGUAUUUUCCCAUCCAAAUUCAGUUUCAAAACACGGACCAAUGCAGUGUUUCGUACAGAUUCUGACUGGAAUAAGCUCAGGGGGAAAAGGCCUGGAAAGCACAUGGCAAAGAAACUCUGAGAGUCCAGAGUAUGAUUUAAAAACAAAAAACAUGGGACGUGUCGUCUUUGUGUACCCGUGUAAAUAAUUAUGAUGGUUGAACUCUGCUUAUUUUUCAUCCAACCUAAGUAACAGCUUUGAAAAAGAAAGAUAACAGUGACCUGUGUGUAUGGGAGUCCAGAGGGACAGUCUGUGACAGAGCUCACAGGGUUCCCAGGAAGACCAAGAACAGGGUCCAACUGAUCUUUCUCUGACAAGACAGGGCUGGGCAGAGGAAGGCGUAAAGAAUGAUUGCACUUGUACAUCGGAAGGUCAGCACACGAGAUCAGAGAGCAAGUCUGUUAUUUCAAAAAUAUAGCCUUCGAAUCCCCAGAGGGUCCAACUGAAGACAAGAGAGAGGUUUUGGCUUCGGGUCCAGGGUGAUGUUUCACAGAAAGUCAACUCUUGUUCCAGGUCUAUCUUAUCAGACUGGGAGAAAGAGACUAAAGCAACCCUACGUCACCACUUUGAGAAAGGAGUUGAGGUACGGUGCUCAUAAUUCCUGGCUUUUACUUG